rnacentral:rRNA from 1 species
GAUGAACGCUGGCGGCGUGCCUAAUACAUGCAAGUCGAGCGAACAGACGAGGAGCUUGCUCCUCUGACGGUAGCGGCGGACGGGUGAGUAACACGUCGAUAACCUCCCUCUACGUCUGGGAUGACUUCGGGAAAACGGAGCUAAUACUGGAUAAUAUAUUGAACCGCAUGGUUGAUUAGUGAAAGACGGUUUUGCUGUCACUUAUAGAUGGAUCCGCGGCGUAUUAGCUAGUUGGUAAGGUAACGGCUUACCAAGGCAACGAUGCGUAGCCGACCUGAGAGGGUGGUGGGCCGCCCUGGAACGGAGACACGGUCCAGACUCCUACGGGAGGCGGCAGUAGGGAAUCUUCCGCAAUAGGGGGAAGACUGAUGGAGCAGCGCCGCGGGGGUGAUGAAGGUCUUCGGAUCGUAAAACUCUGUUAUUGGGGAAGAACAAAUGUGUAAGUAACUGUGCACGUCUUGACGGUACCUAAUCAGAAAGCCACGGCUAACUACGUG